rnacentral:rRNA from 1 species
UACAUGGGGUGCAACCGUUGCUCGGAAUUAUUGGGCGUAAAGCGCGCGCAGGCGGUUUUUCAAGUCAGUGGUGAAAGCCCGGAGCUCAACUCCGGAACUGCCAUUGAAACUGUGAAACUUGAGGAUGAGAGAGGUGAGUGGAAUUCCCAGUGUAGAGGUGAAAUUCGUAGAUAUUGGGAAGAACACCGGUGGCGAAGGCGGCUCACUGGCUCAUUUCUGACGCUCAGGCGCGACAGCGUGGGGAUCAAACAGG